rnacentral:lncRNA from 1 species
GCAGACCUUACCCCUACCUAGUGAAGGUAGAGACGUUGUUUCCAAUAGAAAGGUGGUAAGUUUUCUCAUAAUUGGUGCUUAACAUUGGGUUGGAAAUGUUGCAUUUGGGUUUGAUGUCUUCUUAUUGAAAAGAAAAGGUAUACAGAUCAUGCUAAUAUCAAAAGAAAAAGACUAAAUUGAUGCUUCUUUGUGGCAAGGAUAUACUAAAGGCUAAUAAACCAGUCUUGGUUUUAGAAAUUGUGCUAGUCAUCCCCUUGUCAGCUAAUCAUGUCUAAUGCGCAAGUUUUCUCUUCUAAAGAAGUGAUAAAAAUGCAUGUUACUUCCUUAAAGUUCUAUGAACACAUUAAUAUUAAGGCAUAAAGUCGUAAAACAUGGGAUUAAUACAUACUUUACUCCCCAAACUUGGACAAAAAUCCUUUACUUUUCUUUGUGUCUAUUUUCCGUAGCAAAAGCCCCACGAAAAUGCCAUGUGGCAUGUGCGUCACUGCAUCACUUACCAGCCCAAGCAAAGCGUGCAAGGGUUAAAAAUCUGUCAAAAUCCCAUUUUUUAAAAGAUUUUUCAGCUUGUUUUCUUCUUUUUAGAUGCUACCUCUUUUUUGACACUUCUUUUUUCUUUUUUUGCCUUAUUGUAUAUUCUUUUCCUUUUCUUUAUUUUCUCUUUCCUUCUUUCUUUUUCUACUCCAAUUGUUCUUAUCCUCUGAACUCUCCGAUAUACUGUUGCUCCAGUAAGCAGCCAACUAUAGGGUGCACACUUUACUGUUAGCCACAUGAGCUCAACCAUGUUGAACGCAGCAACUAGAGGUGCAUGCUCUACUGUUAGCCACAUGAACUCAACCACGGUCCAGUUAAGCAGAAGCUCUCUUGGUCACUUGAUUGCCGAUAUUUCUCAGAGGGAAGUUAGGAAGAAGGAACGAGAAAGCAGGGAAAAGAUACAAAAGAUAAGGAUAAUGAAAUAGAUCCUUUGUUUCUCAUGCAUAUUUUGCAUUCUUUUUGGUUUUAAAUCUGUUAAUGGGAAAAUGGGUUUGUUACCGGCAAAGUUUGUCGAGCAAAAGUGAAGGUAGAAGGCCCACAGGGUUAUGGGAAUGAAAAUAGAGAAAGAUUUCUACAGAGACUGCCAAGAUUUGGUCCAGCCAGAAUUUCAACCAAGAAAAUGACAAUGGGAAAAGGGGUUUUCGCCGGUAAAUUUGGCUUGGAAAAAUGGUUGAAAGCUAGCAAGGAUGGACCUUUUUUCAUUUUUUUCCCAUGACGUGUCAUGAGUGGUGCGUAUCAUGUGCUUCCAAGAGGGAGUGGUCGUAUGUCAUCCAGGAGGGUCUUAGACAUGGAUUUUGCAGAAUUAAGAAGGAUGCCACGAAGAAAAGGUGUGUAAAUGGGAUUUCUGUGCAAGUUGGAGGACUAAGAGCCCAUUUGGAUUGGUUUUAAAAAAGUGGCUUUUAAGUAUAAGUGCUUAAAAGUACUUUUAAGUGCUGGAGUUUGUUUUAUAAAUAAGCAGUUAAGUGUUUGGAUAAAAGUGCUGAAACUUAAAAAAAGUUGUUGAAGUGUUUGGUAAAUAAGUGCUGGUAAGCACUUGUUUCUGUUAAAAUGACUGAAAUAUCCUUAAAGUUGUUAACACUAUAAAGAAAAUAAUUACGAUAAUAUUUUAUUCUAAAUUAAUACAUAUACAAAAAAAUUAUAAUUUAGUUCAUUUUCAAUUUAAAACUGAUUGCCUAAAUAUAAAUUAUUUAUUUAAAUAACAUGCAAUAAUCUAUUAUUUCACCAAAAAAUAUUUUUUCGGCUCAUAGCUUCAAAUUCUUUGUUAAUAGAUAGACUCAUUGAAAAUUUUGAUUUAGAAUAUAGUUUCUCCAAUUUAAAAAAAUGAGGGAUUCAACAGCAAUUUUUUUUUAAAAAAAAUGUUAUGGAACCAAAAAAGAAACUAAAACAAAAUAAUGUAUAUAAAAUAUUAAAUGCAUCAAACAUUUACAAAGCUACAGUUGGCUUUACGUUUACAACUUCAAACAAAUUGAUAAAAUUUUGGGGAAUGGCAGCAGAGAUGACACGGGAUUUAUUAAUUAGUAAGGGAAGGAUAGUUUUGGAUUUAGAAAAAGUAAAAGGGAUAAUAACUCUACAAAGAACAAAACACUAUUUUUCACUCUCAUGAAUCCAAAACCAAAAGAGUUCGGCAGUGAUGGAAUUUGGAAGGCACACAUUGGAAAUGACAAAGGAAAGGAGAAAAAGAAAAGAUUAUGGAAUUUGGAAGGCAGAGAUUGAAAAUGGCGGAGGAAAGGAGAAAAAGAAAAGAUUGGGGUAUUUUGAAAAUUAUACAUAAGUAUCAGGGAUAGCAAUAUAAAAUACUUGGUCAAAGAGGGAUGACUUUUAAGCUAGAAAAAAAAAGUUGGGAUUACCCAACUUAUCACUUUUGGCUUAAUUUGGAUCUUUUGGCUUAAAAGCAUUUGACCUUUAAGCAGAUUUUAAGUUUGCCAAACACCUCAAUAAGCUAAAAAAUGACUUAAAAGCUGGUUUGACCAGCUUUUAAGCCCAUCCAAACAGGCUCUAAUUUAUGCAUUAAGCCUAACUUGAUUUUCUUGUGGGAAACUAGGACUUUACCUUACCAAUGAAAGAAAAAAAAUCUUGAAUUUUCAUUUAGUAAGGCUUAAAUAAUUGGAAUAUUUUUCUCUUUAAAUAUUUAAGUGAGAUAAGAUGAUGAUUAUUUUAUUUUAUUAUUAAAUGUUGUAUCAUUCAUACUUUUGAGUCUGUAUAAAAAUGGUAUGAAAGGAAAUUAUUUUUCCUCCUUUUUCUGUGUGGUCGGCGGAGAUCAGCAUAAACCCAAAAGUAUGAAGAUGUAGAAGCCCACACAGAAAUGCUAGAUAUUUUGGAAAUAAAAGUUAAUUAUUUAUUUUUUUCGUUUUUGGAUAACUGCAAUAUAGAGGGAACAUUAUGACCAAUCGAUGUUUCAUGUGUCAGAAAAAGACAAUAAAUAUCUUUUCUGCAUUGUACAGUGGACAAAAGUGUUGGAGAACUACACCAUACUCAAAUUCGAGUUCAAAUUGAAAGCGAAAUGGUAGAUGCCCUGAGGAUGAAUCUGAAGCCAUUCAGUGAGAUGCAUUGUCGGAGAUGUCUCUCUUCCUUCUUUUUCCCUUCGUCUUUGGUGCAUGAGAGUCUAUGUUACUCAGAUGCGAGUACUCAAUACGAGUGCGGAUAGAGGUUGGAUUCUUCAUCACACAAGUUUUUGGAUUUGGGGUUAUGGAUCUGAGUACAAAUACAGGUGGGAUACUGUCAAUAAAUGUACAUUGAAGCAUAUAUAAGUAUAUAAAAUGAUUAGUAAACCUUAUUGAGCUAAAACUAAUAAAAUAUAAUUCUUAAGAAAUACAUAAUUUUUUAUUCAUAAGAUUUCUCGUGUAAUAGUUAUGCGUUCUCAUACUUUAUAUAACUAUCUACAUAUGAUAUAAACCCAAAACUCAAACCAAGUAGAUGUAGUCAAAGCAUCCAAGGUAAGUUGACCAAAUCCAAUGUGGACCCCUCCUCCUCCACUCACACUCAAAUCAUGUCGGAUCGACAUGGGUGCGGAAGGGAUUUGAAGGGCCCGAGCAACAUAUGUGAGAAUGGAGAGUAACAGGAAUUUUUGAGGGCCCUUCCUAGGAGCUUCUUUGGAGGGUUUGUAGGCUUUUCUUAACGUUAGCUUUAACAUAACUACAAUGGGAUUAGACUAGAGAGCCUCUAUGGUUCUAUUUCCUUCUUAAUUCUCUUAUAUGUUAAUCUGGGAACAUAUUUUUUUGUUUGUUGGUAAUGCGGGGAUGUAUUGUCUUACCUUAUCGCAUCUCUCUUUUCCAUAUCUAUCAAUAAAAUCUUUCCUCCAAGAACUAGCACUGUAAUCUGUUGUUAGUAAGGCUCCAAGUUAAUAAAUCAGCUAAAACCAUAAUAGUAUUAUGCUUUUGAUUUUUCAAUUGGCUUUUCAACUUCUAUUAACUCUACUGUUGUGUGGGCCUGACUUAGCUUAUUCUCUUGUUUUUGGUGAAACUCUUGUUUUUGGUGAACUAUAAUGUCAAGCGCUUAUCCAGGAGCACACCCAUGAUUUUUUCUGGAGCUCAAUACUUGCUUGAUUGUGGAGACCUGGAGAAAUAUCAAGUAUCACUGUAAGUGGUGGAUCUUGAGGAAUUUCUACAACAAUGUGAGUGUCAAGGUAACAGCAAAUUUCCUACCUUAUUUUAUUUUUAAGCUAUGAAUGAAGCUAUAUUGGCUGUUGAUGCUACAUUUUCUUAUUCCAGUUUUCAUGGACCAGAUAUAUCAUAAUAUCACCACGAGACGGCAGGGCCAAGAUAUUUUACAGUGUCAUGGUCCAAGCAUGAAGUUGUUGAAGUCAUUCAUUCAGAGUCCUAGGUUUUAGCUCAAUCUUCACAAAAUGAACUGAGCAAGAGGGAGAACUGACCAAGAGGGAGGUUAAGGGGACUCUGUCCUGAAGACUGAGGGGGCUAACAUGAAGUAGUGGUCUCUUUUUUAUAUUAGUUAUACAAAGAUUAUCGAGGACCACAGUUCAAAUUUCAGUGUAUUCAAAAAGCACUAGGUGAUUUCUUCCCAACUAUCUUAACCUUGUUGGAUAGAGUUAAACGAGUACGGCCAGAGAUAGCAGGAAUUCAGUGGUUAGUCGAGGACACCAGCUAUCAAGAAAAGUUGCAGUGAGAUAUUGUUGGAAAAUUCCCUAGUAUAAUAAUUACGAUUUCAAUUUGGAUUUUUGGCCUAUUUCUAUAACGUCAUUUUUUUCUAAACUCAAGGUAUUAUGCUUAUGAGGAUCUGAUUCAUCAAUGUACUUUUAAAAAAAAGAAGCACGAAUCUGAUUUAUCAAUGUAAUUGCUUUGGUAUGGCUAAUAUUUAGUUGGCCGAGUGUGUUAGCUUCUGAUUUGAGGCUAUGCCAACGUUUUC